UACAGAGGUCUCAAGCGUUGUUCGGAUUCAUUGGGCGUAAAGGGUGUGUAGGUGGCGCCGUAAGUCGGGUGUGAAAUUUCGGAGCUUAACUCCGAAACUGCAUUUGAUACUGCGGUGCUUGAGGACUGGAGAGGAGACUGGAAUUUACGGUGUAGCGGUGAAAUGCGUAGAUAUCGUAAGGAAGACCAGUGGCGAAGGCGGGUCUCUGGACAGUUCCUGACGCUGAGGCACGAAGGCCAGGGGAGCAAACGGG
rnacentral:rRNA from 1 species